CUUAAAAAUUUCGCAGAUAUGAAUAAAACCGACAACACAAAGCAAGUACGGCAUGGCAUUUUACUACUGAAAUGUUUACACUCACCCAAACCGGCACAACAACGAUUAAGUUAUCAAAGAUAUCAACAUCAAAACAUCAAAACAAUUAUUAUACAAACUUUGUUUCACGGUUGAACAGCCACUAAUUCAUGAAACUGCAGGCUUA